AACUUCCACUGUUUGUUUUCACUUUUUAACCCGAUUAUUUAUAAAAAACCCAACCCAAAAAAAUAUUUACCAAAUCCAUACCAAAAAUAAAAAAAAUGAAAAAGUUAUUCGAGAGAGAGAGAACAAGCAGGGAGAGUCUGAAACCCUAGAAUCACGAUUCCAUCGCCACCGCCAUUCAUCUCCUUGCCGCCGUUGCCGCCAAGUUUCCUCCGUCAACCGUCGCCCGCUGGAGUUAUGAAUGGAGGCCAGCUCACGGAGGAAGAAGCUCAGGCUCUUUCAAAGAGACAGCUACAGAAGAAGAGUAUUCUUCAACUAUGAAAAACAUAUCCGCUUACAGAGCCCUCCAGAGAAGGUUUUCGAGUACUUUGCAUCGAUCAAAACCGCGAAUGGCGAGGUUUAUAUGACACCUGUAGAUUUGAUGCGUGCUGUUGUUCCGGUGUUCCCUCUUUCAGAAUCAAACUGUGUUAGAGAGGGCUUUCUCAGAGGGGAGCAGGUUCCUGAUACAUUGCGGUGUUAACCCUCUGAAUUCUUUAUGCUCUUUGACACUAACAAUGAUGGAGUCAUUUCUUUUCCAGAGUACAUCUUUUUUGUUACUCUCCUCAGCAUACCAGAAUCCAGCUUCACAGUCGCCUUCAAAAUGUUUGAUCUUAACAAUAAUGGGUAGGAUCUUCUUCCUUCCUUCAAGAAAAAAUAUCACAAUCAUAAUGAUUAUACACAUAUAUUGUUACAAUAGCAAUUGAUUUUGUCCACUAUCAAUGAUAUCCUGGUUUGUGCAUCUGAGCUCUCUAAGGAUCAUGUUAAUAGGGAAAUAGACAAAGAAGAAUUCAAGAAAGUGAUAGUAUUUAUAUAAAGAAUUUACCAUAUUGUAGAGCAUGUAAAUUCCUUAUGAUUGUAGGCUUCUCUUUUAUGGCCAAAAUUGGAACCUUGCUUAUGAAAAGGUUGCAUUUUAAAUAAUACAUACAUGAAUUCUGUUGUCUUUUGAUUUUUUAUUUUUAUUUAUUUACUUUUGUAUAGGCAACUAAUAGAAACAAAGGAGGCAAUUGAACGUCAGCGCAAAUUAUUAAAAAAAAAAAUCUGGUGUUAUCCUAUUACCCCUUCUCUAUUUAAUCCAUUAUUUCCUAAAGUUGGAGGGGAGGGCUUGACCGCUUGAGUGGAUUAAAUUUAGGGUUGUUUUUCAUUUUACCAUUUUCCAUUCUCCUUCUUUCUUAUGCGUACUAGUUAUAUAAACAUAUGAUGGCUAUGUGUCAAUCAAGGCAUUUAGUACUCUGUAUUUAUUGACAUAUAAUGGCUUUCAUUGUGUAUUCACUUUCCAGAUAUAUAAAUAAUAACUAAUAUUAUGCUCCUUUUGACAGUACAAUUAUUUGUAUAAAUAAUAACUAAUAAUGUAUUAAGUAACAUUUCAAUUAUUUGUAUGUACUUGUGUAGUUAUGAUUGAUUAAUGGGCUUAGUAAUGUAGAGUAAAUAACGGUCUCUAUUCUCAUGUCCCCUCUAAUUUUGGGUUGUAUUAUUUUUUGAGUCAAAUUGCAAUAGAGAUAGAGGAAGAGAUGAGAUCUAAUACAACAGUAAUGUUAUUGGAAAGACUAGUAGAGUGUGCAGCAGAUGGUUAGCAAAAACAGCCUGCGUUUCAUCAAAGGAGUCACCCUAAUGCUGCCCAAGAAUGCAAGCCCAAACCCCCACACCCUUAAGCACAACCAACUCUAGGCACAAAAGCUUCUAUUUGACAUGUUGGAAGAGACUAUAGAGAUAGUGAAGGAACUUAACCCCGUUCUGAAUGAUGAAGAUCCCAAGAUCAACCAGGAAGAAGAAGGAAGAGAACCUGGCAUUCGCUUGUUCAAGCAUGUUUGCCAACCAGGAAUAGUAUUUGAUAAUUUCGGUAACUCACUAAAUCAAAUGACCUCUUUUCUAGUGGCUUACUUGUCUAGGGUUUGAAAUUUUCAAUAUAUAUUUAUGGUUUCUGCAUAGGGUGUCAUCAUAUUUUCAAGUGACAGCUAGAAUGCUUUAAUCAGCCAAAUUAAUUUUAGUGCUUUAUAUAGUUGAAAUACAAUCUUUAUUUCAUCCAAUUGGGAUGCGAAGGGGUUCUUAUAUUAGUUUACUAUCCAGUUUGGUCGAGGUCAUAUUGACAGACCUUGUUUUAUAUUUCAAAUUAUUCAUGUUAAAUUUUGUUCAAAUAUGUAAUAUUUUAAUUUCCUUCUAAAUUUUUAA